CGCAGUUUCAGCAAAGUUCCCUGCCGCGCCGGGAAGCCGUCCUGUUGCCCACUCUCACCCUUCCUCCUUUUCCGGCCCAUUCUCUCUCCCCACUGGGUCUCCGACACGACCCUCUCUCCUCCCGGCUGUCCCCGAGCCCCUCUCUGCUUCCCCAGCUCAGCCCCCUCUCUGACGGCUUCUCCCUCCCACCCCCAGGCGAAUCUCCGGGCUCCCACGGGGUGCCCCCGAUCCCCGGGGUCUAGGUCAACCAGACAAAAUUAUUUUAAAUGGGAAGAUUUGAAUUCCAUUGAAUUCAUGAAAGCAGGAAUCCAUCUGGUCAUAUUUUAAAUAAUUUUGAAAUGAUAAUAGCAAUUAUCAAUUUAAAGUUUAACCAGAAUUCAGAAUAACCACCAUUUUACCAGAAAAAAAAAAACCUGUUAUAACUAACCAACUAAGUCAGUAAAUUCUCAGGAUACAAUAUUAACAUAUGAACAUCAGUUGCAUUUUUUUUACAGUAACAACAAAAUAUCUGAAACAGGAAUAAAGAUAGUUCCAUUUACAAUAUUAUCAAAUAGAAUGAAAUACUUAGGAAUGAGUUAACAAAGAAUAUGAAAGAUCUGCAUACUGAAAACUAUAAAAUGUUGAGGAAAGAAAAUGAAGAAUACAAAAUGGGAAAUAUGUGUUCAUGGAUUCUAAAAAUUAAUAUUGUUAAAAUAUCCAUACUACACAAAGUGAUCUACAGAGUUAAAUUUUUAUCAAAAUUUUAAUGCCAUUUUAUUAAAAUGUAGAACGACAAUUUUAAAAUUAGUAUGGAACCACAAAAGACCUCAAAUAGCCAAAUACUGAGAAGAACAAAAAGGCUGAAAGCCUCACACUUCCUGAUUUCAAACUAUAUUACAAAGCUGUAGUCAUUAAUACAGUAUAGUACCUACAUAAAAACCAAUAGAACAGAAUAGAGGACCCAGAAAUAAACUCACAAAUAUACAUUCGACCAAUCCCACAGAAUGGAGAAAGGAUAAACACAUCAAGGAGUGGUGUAGGAAAAACUCGAUAUGCACAGACAAAAAGUAAACCUUUCUCUCAUGUCAUCACAAAAUGAAUUUGAAAUGAAAUAAAGACUUAAACAUAAGAACUGAAAUCAUGAAUCCUCUAAAAAAAAAAAUGGGGAAAAGCCUCCUUGACACUGGUCAUGGCAAUGAUGUUUCGGAUUUGACACCAGGAGCGCAGUCAACAAAAGCAAAAAUAAACAAGUGGAACUAUGUCAAAGUAAAAAUUUUCUGCACAAUAAAGGAAACAAUCAGCAAAAUAUAAAGGCAUUAUAUGGAAUGGGAGAAAAUAUUUGUAAACCAUAUGUAGGAUAAUAUGUUACUAUCCAAAAUAUAUGUCAUAGUAAUCAAUACAAAAAACCCACAGCAGAAUUAAAAGCAAUUUCUUGAUUAAUAAUUGGGCAAAAUAUAUAAAUAGCAAUUUUUCCAAAGAUAUACAAAUGGCCAGCAGGUAUAUAAAAAAUGCUCAACAUCACUAAUUAUCACAGUAAUUAAAAUCACAAUGAGGUAUCACCUUAUCGUGGUGUUUGGAUACCUAUUAUCAAAAAGUCAAAAGAUAAAAAGUGUUAGGGUGUGGAAAAAGAGAACACUUGUGCACUGUUGCUGAGGAUGUCAAUUGGUGCAGCUAUUAUGAAAAACAGUAUGGAGGUUCCUUAAAAUUGUUAAACUAGAACUACCAUUAAUCCCAAUUAGGAGUAUAUAGCCAAAGGACAUAAAAUCAGGAUCAUCAAGGGUAUCUGCAUUCCUCUGAUACAGAUAAACUGAGAGACAUAAUUUCAGCUUUAAUAAAAAUGAAACUCUUUCAUCCACAACAAUAUUGAUAAAUCUUGAAGACAUUAUGCUAAGUGAAAUAAGCUGAAUACAGAAAGACAACUACUGCAUGAUCUCGUUUGUAUGUAAAAUCUAAAAAAGUAAAUAAAAAUUUAAAAAAGCCAUGGAAACAGUAGAACGCUGGUUCCCAUGGGCUAGGAAGUGGGGAAAGUGGGAAGAUUUCCAUGGAAGGGGCGCACCUUCAGUUACAAGGUGAGUAACUGCUGGGGACCUAACGUACAGAAUAGUGACUAUAGUUAACAAUACUGUGUACUUGAAAUUUGCUGCAAGAGUAGAUCUCAGGUGCUCUCACCACACACAGAGGCGUAUUCACUAUGUGAGGGGAUAGACAGGCUAACUAGCUUAACUGAGGUGAUUUAAAGACCACUGACAUCUCAAAACACUCUAUUGUACACCCUAAAAAUACACACUUUUCAAUUUGUCAAUCAUAGCUCAACGAAUGGAGAAAAAAAAUAAGAGUAACCAGCAGGUCAUAGCUCGCCACACGGAAGCUCGAUUUAAAACACGCUUGGCCGCUGUUCGCAGCUCAACUCGGGAACGGCCGGAGCGCUUCUGGCCCCUGGACUUCGACGCUCCUCCCGCGCCCCCGGGGCUGGGGAAGGCGCAGUCGUUCCCCGGAUUCCAG
rnacentral:lncRNA from 1 species